UGUCGGGAGUUAGGAAAUGCAAGGAUAUUAAUAGUGUCUUUGCUUGACUAAGGCUCCGGAGGAAGCCACGGCUAACUCUGUGCCAGCAGCCGCGGUAAUACAGAGGCGGCAAGCGUUGUUCGGAAUUAUUGGGCGUAAAGAGCACGUAGGCGGCUAUGUAAGUCGGUUGUGAAAGCCUUCCGCUCAACGGGAGAACAGCAUCCGAUACUGCAUGGCUUGAGUGCGGGAGGGGAGAGUGGAACUUCUGGUA
rnacentral:rRNA from 1 species